rnacentral:tRNA from 1 species
GGAGAUGUACUCAAGCUGGUGAAGAGGUGCCCCUGCUAAGGGCAUAGGUCGUGAAAGCGGCGCGAGAGUUCAAAUCUCUCCAUCUCCGCCA